rnacentral:misc_RNA from 1 species
GUGGUGCAGCAGCAGCAGAGGAAGCGGUCGCUGGUGGCCGCGUCGGCGGUCGCGGCGGCGGACUGCGUCGUGAGGGCGGCGAAGAGGCAGAGGCAGCAGCGGCAGCCGCCGUCGCUCGACGCGCUCCCCGACGAGUGCCUCUUCGAGGUCCUCCGUCGCCUCCCCGGCGGCCGCGAGCGCGGCGCCUCCGCCUGCGUCUCCCGCCGCUGGCUCGCCCUCCUCUGCAGCAUCCGGGCUUCCGAG